rnacentral:rRNA from 1 species
UACGUAGGGGGCAAGCGUUGUCCGGAUUUAUUGGGCGUAAAGAGCGUGUAGGCGGCCGUACAGGUCAGCUGUGAAAACUCGAGGCUCAACCUCGAGACGUCGGUUGAAACCGUACGGCUAGAGUCCGGAAGAGGCGAGUGGAAUUCCUGGUGUAGCGGUGAAAUGCGCAGAUAUCAGGAGGAACACCAAAGGCGAAGGCAGCUCGCUGGGACGGUACUGACACUGAGACGCGAAAGCGUGGGGAGCAAACAGG